GAUGAACGCUGGCGGCGUGCCUAAUACAUGCAAGUCGAGCGAACAGACGAGGAGCUUGCUCCUCUGACGUUAGCGGCGGACGGGUGAGUAACACGUGGAUAACCUACCUAUAAGACUGGGAUAACUUCGGGAAACCGGAGCUAAUACCGGAUAAUAUAUUGAACCGCAUGGUUCAAUAGUGAAAGACGGUUUUGCUGUCACUUAUAGAUGGAUCCGCGCCGCAUUAGCUAGUUGGUAAGGUAACGGCUUACCAAGGCAACGAUGCGUAGCCGACCUGAGAGGGUGAUCGGCCACACUGGAACUGAGACACGGUCCAGACUCCUAAGGGAGGCAGCAGUGGGGAAUCUUCCGCAAUGGGCGAAAGCUUGACGGAGCAACGCCGCGUGAGUGAUGAAGGUCUUCGGAUCGUAAAACUCUGUUAUUAGGGAAGAACAAAUGUGUAAGUAACCAUGGACGUCUUGACGGUACCUAAAGAGAAAGCCACGGCUAACUACGUG
rnacentral:rRNA from 1 species